AACUAACGCUGGCGGCGCGUCUUAAACAUGCAAGUCGAACGGUAGCACUUGAGCUUGCUUAGGUGUGAGAGUGGCGAACGGGUGAGUAACACGUGAAUAAUCUGGCUCCGGGAUGGGGAUAACGUUUCGAAAGGAACGCUAAUACCGAAUAAGAUGGUGGUUACACAAGUAGCAGCCAUUAAAGGUGGGGACCGCAAGGCCUACCGCCUGGAGAUGAGUUCGCGGCUGAUUAGCUUGUUGGCGGGGUAACGGCCCACCAAGGCGACGAUCAGUAGCCGGCCUGAGAGGGUGAACGGCCACAUUGGGACUGAGAUACGGCCCAGACUCCUACGGGAGGCAGCAGUUAAGAAUCUUGCACAAUGGGGGCAACCCUGAUGCAGCGACGCCGCGUGGAUGAUGAAGGCUUUCGGGUUGUAAAGUCCAGUAAGCAGGGAAGAAUAAGCGCCGGGUAAUAUUCGGUGUGAUGACGGUACCUGCCUAAAGCCCCGGCUAACUACGUG
rnacentral:rRNA from 1 species